CUUAGCUACGAAAUCCACCAAGAGACUGAAAAGGUGCUUCAGUUGAUGUUCUCGUUCAGUUGCAGCUUUAAAGGAUGGAUGGAGUAAUUAUAUUAUUUAUGGAGCUGACUGCCAAGGCCAGCUAGCAAGAAAAGAGAGAGAGAGGAACUGCUAGAUGUCUCUGCAAUUAUUCUUUCACUGUCUCUAGGAGUCUAGCUCUAUAGGCUACAAGAUCUGGUUGCCUCUGACGCAGGUUGUUGACUUCUUCUACAACGUUUAAUAUAAGAAUACACAUCUAAAAAGGACCUCUACAACGACUACUAUAUAAAUGUACCUGUGUCUAUGUCAUCAUUACUGUACUGAUUGAGCUCGAGAUUGAGGUUCCUUGUCACACUACUUGAGAAUAUGUACAUAUAUAAAUUGGAAUGCUCAUGCCAUCAAUGAUUUCAACCCAUCAUGACCAGAAGCAUCGUGGACACACCUAUACUUUAGGAACUAUCAGAAUUUGGCAGUUAAGUUACUGGCUGUGGACAUGGCUGGUCUGUGACAGUACAAACAGUCAAACAAAAAAUGUAUAAUGUGACAGAGGACAUGGCUGGUCUGUGGACAGUACGAACAGUCGAACAACACAUUAUAUUGUGUGACAGAGGACAUGGCUGGUAGUACAAACAGUCAAACAGAAAAUUUAUAAAUUGACACACUCGAGCAGCACAAGCACUAGAAGAAACAUUCCUAUUAGUGUUGUAAACUGUCGAACUGUCUGGCUAUGUUUGUUUCUUAAAAAUUUUAACACUUCGUUGAAUUAUUCAUGCCAAA